rnacentral:rRNA from 1 species
UCUCGAGCGCGAGAAGGGCAUUUGGUGGAUGCCUUGGUACCAGGAGGCGAUGAAGGACGUGGCACGCUGCGAUAAGCUGCGGGGAGCCGUGAGCAGGCAUUGAUCCGCGGAUUUCCGAAUGGGGAAACCCACCCCUUUGGGGUAUCAUCACCUGAAUCCAUAGGGUGAUGAGGCGAACCCGGGGAACUGAAACAUCUCAGUACCCGGAGGAAAAGACAUCAACCGAGAUUCCGCUAGUAGUGGCGAGCGAAAGCGGAACAGGCCAGUGGUGUGGCGGCGGCAAGCAGAACGGUCUGGAAAGGCCGGCCGGAGCGGGUGACAGCCCCGUAUGCGUACAGCCGACGCGGCAUCCUUGAGUAGGGCGGGACACGUGAAAUCCUGUCUGAAGAUGGGGGGACCACCCUCCAAGCCUAAAUACUCCCUGGUGACCGAUAGUGAACAAGUACCGUGAGGGAAAGGUGAAAAGCACCCCGACGAGGGGAGUGAAAGAGACCUGAAACCGGAUGCCCACAAGCAGUCGGAGCCGCCGAAAUGCGCAAGCAUGGGUGCGGUGACGGCGUACCUUUUGUAUAAUGGGUCAGCGAGUUUCUGU